GGCGUCGUGACGGAGUGGUUAACGUGAUUGACUAGAAAUCAAUUCCUUUCGGGGGCGCAUGUUCGAAUCAUGCCGACGUCG
rfam:Botryotinia fuckeliana BcDW1 unplaced genomic scaffold Scaffold_91, whole genome shotgun sequence.